CAUUUCCCCCCACUGCUUUCUUCCCUUGUCCUUUCUCCCUCUAUUCUGCCUUUUAACAUCCUUUAUUCUGCGUUCCUUCUUUCCUCUUUUUCCUCCCUCCCAGCAUUUUUUCUGUCUCCUCUGUUUCCUCCCCUCUUCCUUCCUUCUCCUCUGUGGUAAUGGCAGCUGAUUGAUGGAGUUUGUUUAGCUUUAAUUACACUGCAGGUGAGCGGCCAGGCCUGCUCAUGCCAGUGUAGCAGAAAACUCAACUUGGUUAGGUUACAGAUUGGAUUUCCCAAAGUGAUAACAUUGUAUAGAGGAAAGGCCUUCAAACUAAUACAUUUUAUUACUGUUUUCUUGUAUUUUCUUUUUAUUUUAUAAGCUCAUCAGAUGGAUAUCAUUAACAUAUUCAGCUUAACUUUUAAUACCCAACAUUCUCAAUUUUGGGAUAUAUUUUGUGCAUACAACCCCGCUUCCCAAAAAGUUUAUUAUAAACAAAUUUUGACAAUUAAUCAAAGCACACUUAAUUGAAAAUAGAACAAACAUUGCAUAUCAAAUAUACUAUAAUUAAUAUACUUGUUUUAUGAAAUAUACUGUAUACUGUAUGAUCCUUUAAAUUUGAUGCACACAUACAAAAAAGUUAUAUAGGAGACAACAUACACUGCCAUCUACACAAUGCCAUUUCCAGGUUAGACCUUGCAUAUUUUAGCAAGACCAUGCAAAAAUACAAACAAACAAAAAACACAUGCAUGGCUCAGAAGUAUAAGAGCGGAUGUGCCAAACUGGCCUGCUUGCAGUCCCAACUAAUCUAAUCACCCACUGAAACAUGUACAUCAUGGACCGAUAAAUAUAAGGAAGGAGACCUGAAGUGUUGAGCAGCUGAAGCCCCUAAUCAGACUAUUUUAAAAGUCCUGAAACUGGGCUUUUGGGUUCGCUUCUGCUUUAACUUAUUCAAAAUUUGCUUAGUAUUUUUCCCACAAAAAUAUCCAAAAUAUAACAACAGUUUGUAUCUCUGUUGUUACCUAUAAGUAUUACCAUUUACGUAAAUGAAUGCAUGACAAGUCAUAUUCAGACAACAUGCUAUUAUUAUUGUCAUUAUUUGUUGUCAUUUCUCUGAUAAUCUUUAUCAUUUGUAUGUCAUGUGGUGCUAGGAUGAUUUUCUUUAGCCAGUCAUGUCAGCAUUUAGGGUGGUGGAGCUGAGUAAAACGCACUUAUAGGACUAAUAAAGCAUUUAUAAAAUGCAUUAUUGAUGCAGUGAUCUGCUUAAUCACUUUCUCUUUUUUAAGUUUACAUUGAGAUCUCCAGAUCUGGUUUGUUAAAGUAUUUCUGGCUCCACUUUGACUACAUCCCAACUCAGAGGGAUUUAGUUGCCCUGGCUUGCUUGCAGCUUGGAUCCUUAUGGGAACUCCUUGGAGUGAAGAACAUUUUACAUUUUAAGGGCGACUUCACAACUAUUUGCAAUGAAAUCUUUUUUAAAAAUUACAUAAAACAAAUGUCAAAUGCAGUUCAUCUGGAAAUUUUCAGGUAAUCUGUCCCAUAAUAUUUAUUCGGCACUGUGUCCAUUUUUUAGAUGAAACCUUCUAAUUGCUGCUCAAAUAUCCAGACCAUGUGGUUACUAUGAGUGAAGUUCAAUCACUUUCUAGUAGAUUCUCUCUCAACACCACUCCCUGUUUCCGUCUUUCUAGUAGAUUCUCUAUCAACAACACUCCCUGUUUCCGUCUUUGGGGAAACAUCUGGGCUAUUGAUUGCCACUUUUUCAUGCAUAGUCCUUCUUCACCGGAGAGAGAACACUCACUAAACAAUUUCCUGCCUGCUGACUUCCAAUAGUAAAGCAUUUCAGCACCAUGGACAGAGCCUGUGGCUGACAGUCUGAGGGAAUAGAUUAUUCUAGCAAAGCACAGUCUCACAGUGUCAGCUUGUUAGCAUUAUUUGCAUUCCUCAUUUAAGGUGGCUGUGAGCAUCUAACCUCCAGCUACAACAGAUUGCACCUCGGGGACUUUAAGGAUGUGUUCACAAACUAUCUCCCACACUGUGACAAUUGUAUAGUUAGAUAUUCAACCCAUCAGGGCACUCCUGCAACCGCUAACACUUACCGCCCUUCCACACCACUAAUUCUUGUUUGCCAUAGCAGGCCAAUAUGUAACUGGUGUUCACUCUGCAUGAGAAGUGAACAACGUUAUAUUCUCAGAGCUGAUAAUUACCAAGGUGAUUAUCAUUCUAUGUGCGCUUCUGUGUUGCAUUUAGAGCGUUCACAUUAGUGGGUAAAUCCAUAAGUAAUCACCAGUUGUGAUGCUCGCUGUCGUUGUUUAACCACAAAGAUGAAAUGUACAGUUGGUAACAGUGAAAGAAUGGACAAAAAUAUACACAGCCAAUAGAAGGGGAAGUUAUGACGUAGGGAUCUUUAAUAAAACGUGAAGUCAAAUUUCCAGGAGAUAAAUCUCUUUUCGUUAAGCUAAUAAUUCUUCCAGAUGCAAAAGGCUGUUUUUAAAAAUUUAAAAAUUAAAUGUCAGUGCACUUGUAGCAGCAUCUUCCUUUAAAACUGACAGGAAUGACUGGUCAGAGCAAUGUUUCAAUUAUUAAGCUUCUGACUCUGAUGUAGAGGUGGAAGUUUGGUGACAGCUUAUGUGAGCAAAGGAAGUCAACUUUAGAUGGUGCGUUUUAUCAAGUCAAUCUCUUUCUCAAAUAGAAGAAAAAUAAUAAGAUUUCACAUCUGCUCCUGGGAUUAGAAGAGGAACAUUAUGUUGCUGUAUGACAAGAUUCAGAGCCAACUCUUGCAGUAUUCCCUCCUCUUCACCAUACCAGCCAUUAACUUCUCCCUGCUCACCUUUCUCCCUGUCUUCUCUUCCCUGACAGUCCAAUCCCCCAGAGGUGGUCCACCCUUGUGCUUCUAUCUCAUUCCUUCAAUUCCAUCCUGUCUCUUUUUCCUCUAUCUGGAUCCUACGUCUCUUGCAAGGGUCACAAAAGCGAACCAUUACGGAAACCCAAGCAACCCAGGAGUCUUUCUGACUGUGCCAUGGACAUGUGCACAUGCCUGAGUGCUUUAGUUCUCCAUGUUUAACUUCCAGAAGAGCUUCCUGUAGAGGAGGACUGCUGUCUGCAUGUUGAAAGACACAAGGAUGUAAAAUGCCAUAGUGAAAGGAAAUUGAGGCACAGUUCUUAUAACACUCUUUGCAUGCUCUUAAAAGCAUUAUGGUUGUAGGAUUCAGGGAUUGCAUUCAUGUCGUUGAGAUGAUGUGGAAAUGUGAACACUCAACACUUUGUAGCUGUUAAUAUGAGACAGCAUCACUCUUAACAUUGACUCCAGUCUGCAUCGUUGUUCACACUCUUAGCCAUCUGCGCUCCCUUACCCUCUUGCCUGCUCUCUCUUUUAGAAGUUAUAAGUUUUUACAAGAUUAAUCUUCAUCAGUAAGGGUAGUCUACACCAAAGUCUGAAAGUUAUAUUUACUUUCUCAGGGCUUUGAAUUACUCCUGUCAGGUUGGCGCUUCAGGCUGCUGCAAGCUAUUAUUUCAUUCCAAUGGAAGACUUUUCAUUUAGAGUGAAGGCUACAGGGGGGUCCAAACUUAAUGUUACAGGGGUACUGGCCCCUAUCCGUCCUUCCUUAGAACCGCUACUGUGAUAGCUUUAUGACAACACAGGGCAUAAGUAGGCUGAAUUGAUUUUAGUCUUCUUUGAUUGGAGUGUUUACCUCCUCUGAACUCAAGCCUCUAGUCAAACCUUCUCUGCAACAUGAAGUAUAUCUGGUGUUUUGAUGAAACUGGCAAAGACUAAACUGAAACUAUGUUUACACAUGCCCAACUAUUUUCCAGGACAUUUAACCCUCUCUGUUUACAUAAAAAACUGCGUGCACACCACUAUGUUUUCAUAAAAAAGUUUUCGUUUACACUAACCUGUCUAUAUAUACCAUCAAGAGCAAAUCAAACAUGUGGGCAGCAGUGUAGUGAGGAGCUCAAGCCCAUGUUAGUCAAUCAGAAUCCCGCAUAGCAGCAACAACAAGAACAAUAUCCCUUCCGUUUUUCCUGCGCACAAUCUGCCGUCAGCUACCCAAAUCUCUGUUCUCCUUAGUUUUACUCUGUUUACAUGCAAAUGUGGGAACAGUUUUCCAAAAUCUCCAUUUAAAAAGCGUCAUUUUCAGGGGUGAAUUCUCUAUUUGUGUCUCAACGAAGGGUGAAAAAAAAUCGGUUAAUGUCUCUGUUUUAAAAAAUAACUGGAUACGUAUAAACGGGGCCUGAUACUGUUCAUAAAACUGUUUAACCCUGAGCAAUAAUGCGAAUAAUAAUGUUUGCAUUAUUUAUUGAAUCAUGGUUUUCGACACCCCGUAUUGAAUAAUUCUUUAUUUUCUUUGGUUUGUAUCACAAAUAGUCAAAGUAUGUCACAUCUCUUUAAAUGUGGUUGUUAUGGUCACAGUGUCUUGGUUUCCUGCCUGGUCCUCUUGGGUUUUUAAACAGCUUUUCUCAAAGCACAUAAGGUUUAGGUACAGAACUUUGUUUUUAUAGAGCCUAAUGGUGGAUUGUGAGUUAUUAAAGUUUGUCAGGUCUCUUGUUCCCUCUGGUAGUUAGAUAUGUACUCCACUACCAUUACCCAAAGCCCACAGCAGCCAGGGAGAGCUUGCUUUCUGAUUGCUGUCAUCAGCACUGAAUGAUCAUUGACUUCUCCCUUGUUGGACUCAGGCGCCAGCCACAUCUUGAUAUACUCAUAACUUUAUAUUAAGUUUGUGAAGGCUGACUGUGCUGUGUUUCACUUACUUGUUAUCAGCCUAUCGCCUGCAUUCAUUACUCUCCUCUCAGACCUGAUGAUAGCAGACAUGUUUGGGCAGAGCGUCUUCUGGGCUCCACCCUUAUUGUUUACACCUCUCCGUCUCUAUUAGAAAGGAUGUGAAAAAGUAAAGCAUUUGUCAGUGAUUUCACAGUGUGCUGAUUUGUGGCAAAGAUAUGUGUAUGUGUUCACACGUGGUCAACAUCACAGCUACAAGCCGUGCACUGUACUUAAUCGUAAUAUUCAGUGGUGUCCUGAGGUGAGCUGGUGAGAGAAAACCAAUGCCAUCUUUACAUCAUAUCACUCCUGCUUUCAUAGUUACAGCAAUAAAUGGAGGAUAUGAUCAAUGCAGCUGAGGAGCCCAUAGUUAGAAUUAAUGAGCACUGCCCAGCUCCUGCAAUUUGUCUGCUGUGCUAUUGAGUUGUCUUAUUUCAAUGUCUAAUUUGUUAUUGCUCCAAACGUCUCCUUCCCCGAGGCGAUUUGAGGUGUCUCAUUGUGAGCCGUCAUCAUUGGCCGAUAAACACCUCUAUGAAUGUCUUGGGCAUUUUAGUGGUAAACGCAGUGCGUGCUGUGAUUUCUUAUCUAAAUGCUGUGACAGUAAGAUGAUUCCCUUCCCGGGGUCUUUGACUGAUGGAUUGCUCUCUAUUAUUCAUGAAACAUUGUCUGUAACGACGCAGAUUGUGAGCUUAAAUAACAUCUUCUGGGGGAUAUACCAUGGGGGGCCAUGGUGUUAGGUGUGCAAAUCAAUAAUUGUAAUGUUCAGACACACUUGGGGGUUAUGGUCCAGACAUGUUAUAAAGAUGAAAAUAGAAACAGAAAUCAUACUAUAUAUUUUGGGUCUCAGGUCAGUUAAUUUAGGUACAGAUAUCUUACCCUAUUCUUUUACUUUGAGACGAUGUAAUAAGAAAAGUGUGGGGCUUGUUAUCAUGACUUUCCAUUUAAUCCAUCUUCAUCUUGAUAUGAAUAUCAAAGACCAUAAUAUAAAAGCUUUUAAUUGUGAAAAGGAAAUGAGCAAAUAAUAGUUGUUUGAAAAGCCGAUCUGCACAUCUAAACAGCUGUGACAGUCUAAACAGCACCAUCAAGCUGGAUAUUGCUCCCCUUGAUGGAAACAUUAUUGGUGAAUGAAUCAUCAUUAUAUUGUCUCAGUCAACAUAUCUGUUAAUUUUAUAAGCAGACGGGUAUCACAAAAGCCGAGCCUAACUAAAUCCAAGAGAGCAGCAUUUCCCAUAAAUCAUCUGGGGUAAAAAUCUGAGCAAGGCAAACAAAGAAGAGAAUGAAGGGAAGGUGAUUCUCCAGCAAAACUGAGACACAGCCGUUCUGAGGGUUUAUCAAAGAUUUAUAGAAGUUUGUGGGGAAAACUGCAAAAAAAAUAGAAGAAAAAAGCUUGUUUGUUGAUGCCAUUAAACGAGGCGUAUUCGAAGGAAACAUGAGCAGAUGCAUGCAUCACAAAUCAUCCACUCUCUCCUUUAAAAACUGGGAGUACCACGAACUUGAGGGUGCAGUAAUCAGGCAGGAAGCAGACAUCCAUACAGACAAAUGAAGAGGUUUGGACUCUGCAUGGAGCAGUAAUCACAGAGGGGCUCCUCAACCAGAAAACCAAGCAUGCUGAAAUACACAAACACAAAGCCCUUUUUGAUCUUCAGAGGAGCAGAAGUAUUGAUUGCAUCUGUAUGUGGCCAGUUCUGCAUUCAGUUAUAAAAUGCAGCAUGGUGGGAUGGGUUGGAGGGGGCAAGCAGGGUAAAAAGAACCUCAGGCUAGUGUGUCUGUGUUGAAGGCAUCAUGGGCUGAAGUGCCAACAGGUGGCCACCGUGCUUCAGGGUACAGACUUACCUGGUGGAUGCUGUGCCGCAAACACCCAACCAAGACAAGUGAAGAGUUUGAUCUCUAGUAUGGGGCUGGCAGGUGUAGAGCUCACACUACAGAGUAAUACGGUGAAUGCAGGGUAGGUGUUUUAGAAGUGGUUCUGCAAAGGGAUCACUAUCACAUUUAUUCUGGCAAUGUUUGGCUGCUCUGACAGGACAAGAAGCCUUCCUCCCCAUCAGAAACAGGCUCUCAAAACAGGCAUGGUUGAAAAAUUAAUAUUACUGAACUUAAAGUCUCCAGUGUCCUUAUGUUUCAGCAGGUGUCUAAAUGAAACUCUCUCUACUGCAAAGAGGGAAAAUUUUCACUUUAGCAGAUGUGACUCACUAAACUACUUUCUACAAGUGUGGAAGCUUUUUUUUGACAUUGUUUGAUAAGACUUAACUGUAUAACCCGCAAUCUUUGCUGCUAUGGUGAUGCUGAUGAAGAUUCUUCUUGUCUCUGUACAUUGACAGUUUUUCUGGCUGUAUACAACCUGAAUGCAUUUGCAUUUUUGAGUUGUCUUUUUCUUUAAAUUAUUAUCAUAUUUUUAAAUUAUUGAAUAAUCAUUAUUGGACUAUCAUUUGAUUCUUUGAAUUAUAUUGACCCGGUUUUCAUACAUUAGCACAGUCUUUAAGAACCCACUCCGAUGAAAAUCACGUUUUCUUGUUUUUUUUUUCACAUGUUCAAAUGUAAUUUUUCUGAUGCUACCGGACAUAUCAUGAGAAAACUAAAUGCAAAAUUACUUUUCUGAGUAUUUCUUCAUUCAAAUCGCUGUGAAUCUCUGGCAGACCCAAACAGCAGGUUCAGAAACAGUGAGAUUUCAUACGUAACCAAUCCAAGCCCCGCCCCCGUAGCCCUGCUAUGCAGGCCACACUCUGCAUAUAGAGGAGAAAUACAGAGGACCAUUGUGGAACAAGCGUGUGCAUUAGUGGAUCACAUUGCUUAUAAGAAAGCUACUUAUGAUAUUAACUUUCACUGUGUCCCUAGAGAUAUUCGUGUCCAAGAGCUGAAUAGCUCCUAUGUUACCUGCCACUUCUGCUGCACAGGCAAUGUUAGGCUACAAGCUAACGUGAAGACAAGUGUGCAGAGCAGCACUGUCUCCGCCCACAACUCAGAGGCUAAGUGCUAAUGAGCUACUGAAGCUCUGCAGAAGAAAAGUCCUUGAAAACGACACAGAUAAUGCGAUUUUUGGUAAAAACAUCCACUGAGAACACUUUAGGUACAAAAUAGUUAAAAAAAAAAAGAUUGGAGUGGGACUUUAAGAGCACGGUGUGCUCUUAACCAUUUAGCUUCCUCUGCCACACCUGAACACCUUUUCUGAUCGAGGCACAGCAUGAUGGAAGAUGUACACUAACUGCAGAGAGAAAUUUGUCUUCCUUCUGCCCACUCCUGAGGCUAUGAGAAGAUAAUUGGCGCUGUUAAUGCUGUUUGCUAAAUCCCCCCAUAAUUCAAUCCCAUCACCUUUGAUAUCUCUUUUAAACACAUGUUUAUGAUCAGCUGUGGAUAACUACAUUUGUAUUUAUUAUUAUUCUCUGGUGCUGAAAGGGGCCAAAAAGCUUUAAUUCCAAUUGCAGUAAGUAAUUUUCAUUAAAUGUCAAUUUGUUAUUAAUUCAGAGCAACGCUGAAAUCAAAUAGUGUUCAUUAAUCACUGUGCCGUCCGGCGGGCUGCUAAUUAAAAUGUUGGGGGCGAGCUCGUUAUUCACUGGCAGACCUGAUUGUUAAUGUCGACUCAUUGUCCUCCUCCACCAUGCUAUCAUUUAUUUUCUUUGGUUUUCUUGUAAACUCUUGUUAAUUAUUAAAUUGCUUUUUUGGACCCCCUGUGACACUUUUCAGAUAGUCAUCAAAGUGCUGCCACUUAGAGGAAGUUGUCCUCUGGUUGGGGACAGAGCCCCAGAGACAACCAUAACAGGUAUUUUAUUUAUUGGUUUAAAUACAGAGAGCUUAAAUACAAACUGAGAGACACUAAAAGGAGGUGUUUUUCUUCCCUCAGACUUAAUAUGUUGAUUCUAUCUGUCAUGAGACACUGGGAGUUUUAGGCAAGUGUGAAAUAUAUGCAUAUCAAAUGGGAAAUUUUGUAUAAAUUAACAUUUAAUGAAUACUUUAAACUGCUAUAGGCUUCCUGGUUUACAGCAUAUUUGCUGAUUAUUAUGUCUAGUUUUGUUGAUUUUGCAAAUCAGCACAGCUUUCUGGCAUCAAGCUUCAAUUUACAUUUACUAUAUGUGUUAGAAAAAGCUUUGCAGAUCAUCCUGUUGGACAGUAAAAACAUGUUCGUUUAUACGUGUAACAUGAUGAGUUUACUACACCAGAAAACCUCUGAUCAUCCACAACAAAACUCUCUUAAACUACUCAGCUGUGUUGGCUUACUCUGGCUGAGCUUCUCAUGGAUGAAAUAUGGCCACGGUACAGGGGUUUAUGGUGUGUGGUUCAGCAUGAUUGAAUAAUUAGCAUUAGGUGUUCAAACAGCAGUAGGCACAGAGGACCAAGGUCGGUGUCUUGGACUCACACCUCAACCAGGGAUAUAACCUGUUUUCCUACCCCUCAAUUAUGCAUGUUAUCCAGCAGCAGCCAUAUGUCUCUGUCAAUACCUUUUCCAAGCAUUCAGCGGCGGUCUGUGUGGGAUUUGUGUGCGUUAAAUAAUGCAGUACUGAAAGGUCAGGAGGGAGACGAGGAGAGGGUCAAUGCUUUGGCGAGUUGCAUACAGGGAGGGGAGGUUGGAGCUGCGGCUCACAGAAGCUGCCGUUAAUUUCCAGGUCAGUUCCAAUAAUGAAAUGCAUACGGUAAAUGUCAAACAGCACCCGUCGACGGGUAAUCCACCUCAGCUGGGAAAUAAUGAAUGGCUUUCUUUAAGACCCCAACUAACUCCUUCGAAUAAGGAAAUCAGCAUGCAUGAAUUAUUUUUAGGCACAAGCUGCCUUUUCUGUGUCUUUGCUUCAUGGUUUCAAGUUUAACAUGAAAAGACUGCACAUAAAGACUGAUAGUUCUUCAGAUUUUCCCAAAAUAUAAAGUGGUGUAAAGGAAAAAGUUAGUUUUUGUAUUAUAAUUGACAAACCAUCAAAUGUAAUUAUGUCUUCUUAAUGGCCCAAGUAAAAAAUCUGCAUUUAGGCCACCUAGAGGGGUUAUUAUGCUUUUCUAUACUUACAACAAAAAAUACAAAGUUACAGCUUUUGGUAUCCACACUAAACCAUAAGUGAAUUUUCAAAUCUCGUGGCAAACAUGUGUUGUCAUAAUGCUAGAAAACAAAAGUAAACUGCUCAAAAAAGUUGAUGCAAUGAGGUCAUUGCGACAGGCUUUCCUAACUGGUUCAUCCGUGCUUCUGGCACAGCUGAGCGGUCUGCCCCAUCAGCCUGUGAGGUGACAACCUGUGACUGCAAGCAGGGCAAUGCUGCUCCCUAUCACUACUCUAUUGCUUAACAUGACCACAAUAGAGAAGGCUGGCCCAAAACAUGAACUCUGGCCUCUAGACUCCAGAAAGCCUCAAGAGAGGUGACCAAUCAGAAGAAAGCAGGCAAAUUUAAAGCAAAUUUAAUUGUAUGUAGUCUUUUUUGUCAUGUCUCAAAUAGUCAUCUACUAUCUACAGGAGAAUCACAAAGUCUGAUGGCUGUGGGUACAAAAGAUCUUCUGGACCUUUCUGUCCUGCAGCGAAGAGAGAGGAGCCGUCCACCACGGUUGGCCCUUUGGUCCAUUAAGGUGUCUUUAGAAUAGCCUCCACCUUCCUCAGUGUAGAUCUCUCCACCACAUCCUCUAGUGAGUCCAACUUCAUACCAACCACAGAACAGCUUUUUUCACCAGCUUGUUCAGACGUCUUGCAUCCUUGUGUUUGAAACUUCCUCUCCAGCAGACUGCAGCAUAGAACAAAACACUGUAGACACCACAGACUGAAAAAACAUCUGCAGCAUCUUACUACAGAUGUCUAUUGAUCAGGAAAAAAGGGACAGCAACUAAAAUGAUAUUUUAAUACACCACUGUGAGAAAUUUGAGGUCUUUUUUUUUAAAUCUUAAAAUCAUAUAUCUAUUUAAGAGGUAUCAGAAAGGACAUUUAGAGUCUUUAAAAAUGUAAAUACCCCCUCUAUUAGUGUUUAUUUAACCAAAAUUUCAAAAGUUAGGGAUAAUAUUUCGUCAUAUCUUGGAGAUAAUAAGACUGAAUUACUGCUACAGCUCUUCUGUGUGUUUGUGUGAGUGUGUAAGUGUGUCAAAUGAGCUUAGCAUCAAAGCCAAGACCAGGAGGGAUGGCUAGUCUAGCUCUAAUAUUUAAAAAAUUACUUUCAAUCAACAUUCUUACCGCUAAAUGAACAACUGAACAAACGGGUUGUGUCUUUCAAUUAAAACAGGAAAUUUUAAAAGGGGAAAGUUUUGUUUUAAAGCAAGAUUUCAAGAUCUCACAAAACACUAUCUUCAUAAACUUGUAAUCUUUGUUCUUUGACUGCACAAAUGUGUAUGUUAACUCAAUCAGUGAGAUUUUUUUUUAUGUUUCUAUGUAGAUUAUUGAACCUUGUGGAGUGUAGCGGACCACUUUGUGUCAUAGGUGGAAAGUAAACUUGUUCAUAUAGUCAUUACAAUUUUGUAAGAGGGACUGCAGCUGAAAGUCCACCUCUGGUGGGACCAAGUACCAAGUUAUGUGGAGUCAACAUUAUCAAUAUGACAACCGCCGUCGAUAAGCUUAAAAACUCUGCUUCGGAUUCAAAUGGUGGAUGCCACUGACCCUACAUCCAGUCGGUAAACAGUCUCAUAGGUGUCAGUUUAGGGGGGGAACAGGGGGAUGUGCCCCCCUCACUUUUUGUCAGGGGUUGUUUUGUCUCCACCACACACAAAUCCGACACACGUAAGCUAUUGUAAACCCUGUUAUUUUCAGUAGUAUAGAAAAUUCUGAUGCUCCUGAAUGCACCGUAUUUGUCCGAAAGUUGCUGAGAGCAAGGAUAACAAAAACUUAAAGCUGUUGUAAAUUUGUGUCUGUGCCAAGUUGAAGCAUAGUGUGCCCCCCCACCCCCGUGUAGCACGCGACAUAAACAGUGAAGUUAAGCUAAACUACAAUAUUCCAGCUACCUCCCAACACACAGACAUGAAAAUGGUAUCAAUCUUCAUAUAAACCAUUUGUAAAUGAAGAAAAUGACACCCCUAACAACACCACACACCUGUUGUGCUUCAUACUAAUCAAUACGUUAACAUUUGUUGACGUCUUAUUCUCUGAAAAACUUUCUAGAUGAAUCACUGACAGCAAAUAAAAGGCUUUGUUUGCCUCAUUCAAAUGAAAUCGGAGUGAAUUUACGAUAUUUUUUCCCUGAACUUUAAUAUAAGAGGCAUAUUGGCCUUUAUAUUAAGCUACUGUGUGGUAGGGUUGACUUAUUUUCUCACAAACACAGUGACUUUUUCAUCUCUGAAAGGUAGAAGGACAG